AUUGAACGCUAGCGGCAGGCCUAACACAUGCAAGUCGAGCGAGCGGCGGACGGGUGAGUAAUGUAUGGGGCCUGCCCGAUAGCGGGGGAUAACUACUCGAAACGGUGGCUAAUACCGCAUACUAUCGGAUAACCCAUAUUGGAUUAGCUAGUAGGUGGGGUAAAGGCUUACCUAGGAGACGAUCUCUAGCUGGUCUGAGAGGAUGAUCAGCAACAAUGGGACUGAGACACGGCCCAGAAUCCUACGGAGGCAGCAGUGGGGAAUCUUGCACAAUGGGCGAAAGCCUGAGGUAGCCAUGCCGCGGGUAUGAAGAAGGCCUUAGGGUUGUAAAGUACUUUCAGCGGGGAGGCGUUACCCGCAGAGAAAGCACCGGCUAACUCCGUGCCAGCAGCCGCGGUAAUAC
rnacentral:rRNA from 1 species